rnacentral:rRNA from 1 species
CCUACGGGUGGCAGCAGUGAGGAAUAUUCGUCAAUGGGCGCGAGCCUGAACCAGCCAAGUAGCGUGAAGGAUGACUGCCCUACGGGCUUUAAACUUCUUUUAUAAAGGAAUAAAGUGACGCACGUGUGCCUUUUUGCAUGUACUUUAUGUAUCAGGAUCGGCGAACUACGCGCCAUCCCCCGCGGUACUACGGAGGAUCCGAGUGUUGUCCGGAUUUAUUGGGUUUAACGGGAGCGUAGAUGGGUUGUUAAGUCAGAUGUGAAUGUUUGCGGCUCAACCGUAAAAGUGCAAUUGAUACUGGCAGACUUGAGUACAGAUGAGGUAGGUGGAAUUCGUGGUGUAGCGGUGAAAUGCUUAGAUAUCACGAAGAACACCAAUUGCGAAGGCAGCUUACUGGUCUGCAACUGACAUUGAUGCUCGAAAGUGUGGGUAGCAAACAGGAUUAGAUACCCCUGUAGUC